rnacentral:misc_RNA from 1 species
GAUGAAGAACGUAGCGAAAUGAGAUACUUGGUGUGAAUUGCAGAAUCCCGUGAACCAUCGAGUCUUUGAACGCAAGUUGCGCCCGAAGCCAUCAGGUUGAGGGCACGUCUGCCUGGGCGUCACAUAUCGUUGCCCAAUGCCUAUUGCAGUGCAAUAGGAAUUUCUAGGGCGAAUGAUGGCUUCCCGUGAGCGUUGUUGCCUCGCGGUUGGUUGAAAAUCGAGUCCUUGGUAGGGUGUGCCAUGGUAGAUGGUGGUCGAGUUAGAACGAUACCGAUCAUGUGCAUGCUCCCCAAAAUAUGGCCUCUAUGACCCACACGCGUCUUUUGACGCUCAUGACGAGACCUCAGGUCAGGCGGGGCUACCCGCUGAAUUUAAGCAUAUCAAUAAGCGGAGGA